AUGCCAUGAUUGGGGCAUUUUCGAAGCAAUUCCUUCAAUCUAUCCCAGUUUUCAUAUAGUGAUUCUCUUUCUUUCUGCUGGAAUGAUGUGAUACCACUUCUUAGUUG